AGAGUUUGAUCAUGGCUCAGGACGAACGCUGGCGGCGCGCUUAACACAUGCAAGUCGAGCGAGAACCAGUCCUUCGGGACUGGGGGACAGCGGCGAACGGGUGAGUAACACGUGGGUAAUCUGCCCUCGAUUCUGGGAUAGCCCGGGGAAACCCGGAUUAAUACCGGAUAGCCUCUCGAGCUUUCGAGCUCGUGAGAAAAGGUAGCUUCGGCCUCCGAUCGAGGAUGAGCCCGCGGCGGAUUAGCUUGUUGGUGGGGUAAUGGCCUACCAAGGCGACGAUCCGUAGCUGGUCUGAGAGGACGAUCAGCCACACUGGGACUGAGACACGGCCCAGACUCCUACGGGAGGCAGCAGUGGGGAAUCUUGCGCAAUGGGCGAAAGCCUGACGCAGCGACGCCGCGUGGGGGAAGAAGGCCUUCGGGUUGUAAACCUCUUUCAGCAGGGACGAAGCCACUCGGGUGAAUAGCCCAGAGGGUGACGGUACCUGCAGAAGAAGCCCCGGCUAACUACGUGCCAGCAGCCGCGGUAAUACGUAGGGGGCAAGCGUUGUCCGGAUUUAUUGGGCGUAAAGAGCGUGUAGGCGGCCAGACAGGUCCGUUGUGAAAACUAGAGGCUUAACCUCUAGACGUCGAUGGAAACCGUCUGGCUAGAGUCCGGAAGAGGAGAAUGGAAUUCCUGGUGUAGCGGUGAAAUGCGCAGAUAUCAGGAAGAACACCCGUGGCUAAGGCGGUUCUCUAGUACGGUACUGACGCUGAGACGCGAAAGC
rnacentral:rRNA from 1 species